ACUUUUUUCUAUCUUGGUAUUAGGAAGAAUAGUACUAAUUCCCAUAUGACAAUGAAUUUGACUCAAUAGCACCAAGAUAAAUGUAUUUUUCAUACUGUGGUAUAUAAUAAGCUAUUUAUAAGUAUCAUGUCACUUCUGGAUCAUCUUCAGGGUUCAAAAUAAAAUCUUAAUUUAAACAGUUUUUCAAAGUUGACAGAUACGAUAAAUACAUUUUUGUUCAGAUGAAACCUAAUUUUGACAAUGUUUUGCAAAAUUCAUUACAAGCUAAGGAUUAUUUCUCCGAUUUGUUGCUUUGUUUGUCUUCAUUUUCCAAUGUUUAGUUUAAUGUUACAUUCCAUUAUAGAAAAAACAUCUGUGGCUACAGUUCACCAAAGCCUCUGCUUAAGAGACAGGAGGACGCUCUUGCAGAUGAAGGAUAGAGGAAGGAGUUAGCAUUUGCCAUGGAGGCAUUAGGGGCAGUCGCAGCACUUCUCUGCACCAUUACGGGACAUCAUACUUUCCCUGCGGCUCCAUGCGACCAAAAGUAGUAACCACCUGGAGAUACUCUGCCUUGAAGGGACCCCUGGACACUUGGCCCUACGGAAUAGGGGAACUUUUCUGCGCUGAGGUAACUUGCUGCAGUUUUGCUGAACUGGGGAACCUUGGAUUUCCCUGCAGAAAUUUGUUUCUACCAGAAAAGAAAUUACUCUUCCCACAGUCCUUAGGAAGGAGGAAUAAAAUUCAUAUAUACUGGAUUGACACAUGCCUGAAUUUAAGUGGGAUCCCAUCCUUGCAUCCUCUGUGUGUU
rnacentral:lncRNA from 1 species